GGCUUCGUAGCUUACCUGGUAGAGCGCUCGACACGUUUGAGUGCGCUGUUCCUGUCACUGGUUCGGAUUCAGCCGAAGCCC
rnacentral:tRNA from 1 species